rnacentral:rRNA from 1 species
AGGGUUUGAUCAUGGCUCAGAUUGAACGCUGGCGGAAUGCUUUACACAUGCAAGUCGAACGAUGAAGCCUAGCUUGCUAGGUGAAUUAGUGGCGGACGGGUGAGUAAUAUAUCGGAACGUGUCCAUUAAUGGGGGAUAACUAAUCGAAAGGUUAGCUAAUACCGCAUACGCCCUGAGGGGGAAAGCUGGGGAUCUUCGGACCUAGCGUUAAUGGAGCGGCCGAUACCUGAUUAGCUAGUUGGUGGGGUAAAAGCCUACCAAGGCAACGAUCAGUAGCUGGUCUGAGAGGACGACCAGCCACACUGGGACUGAGACACGGCCCAGACUCCUACGGGAGGCAGCAGUGGGGAAUUUUGGACAAUGGGGGCAACCCUGAUCCAGCCAUUCCGCGUGAGUGAAGGAGGCCUUCGGGUUGUAAAGCUCUUUCGCAAGGGAAGAAACGAUAUAGGUUAAUAGCUUAUGUUAAUGACGGUACCUUGACAAGAAGCACCGGCUAACUACGUGCCAGCAGCCGCGGUAAUACGUAGGGUGCAAGCGUUAAUCGGAAUUACUGGGCGUAAAGCGUGCGCAGGCUGUUUUGUAAGUCAGAUGUGAAAUCCCCGAGCUCAACUUGGGAACUGCGUUUGAAACUACAAGACUAGAAUAGGUCAGAGGGGGGUAGAAUUCCAUGUGUAGCAGUGAAAUGCGUAGAGAUGUG